rnacentral:rRNA from 1 species
UUAAGUUAUUAAGGGCGCACGGUGGAUGCCUUGGCACUAGAAGCCGAUGAAGGACGUUACUAACGACGAUAUGCUUUGGGGAGCUGUAAGUAAGCUUUGAUCCAGAGAUUUCCGAAUGGGGAAACCCAGCAUGAGUUAUGUCAUGUUAUCGAUAUGUGAAUACAUAGCAUAUCAGAAGGCACACCCGGAGAACUGAAACAUCUUAGUACCCGGAGGAAGAGAAAGAAAAUUCGAUUCCCUUAGUAGCGGCGAGCGAAACGGGAAGAGCCCAAACCAACAAGCUUGCUUGUUGGGGUUGUAGGACACUCUAUACGGAGUUACAAAGGACGACAUUAGACGAAUCAUCUGGAAAGAUGAAUCAAAGAAGGUAAUAAUCCUGUAGUCGAAAAUGUUGUCUCUCUUGAGUGGAUCCUGAGUACGACGGAGCACGUGAAAUUCCGUCGGAAUCUGGGAGGACCAUCUCCUAAGGCUAAAUACUCUCUAGUGACCGAUAGUGAACCAGUACCGUGAGGGAAAGGUGAAAAGCACCCCGGAAGGGGAGUGAAACAGAACCUGAAACCGUGUGCUUACAAGUAGUCAGAGCCCGUUAAUGGGUGAUGGCGUGCCUUUUGUAGAAUGAACCGGCGAGUUACGAUUUGAUGCAAGGUUAAGCAGUAAAUGUGGAGCCGUAGCGAAAGCGAGUCUGAAUAGGGCGUUUAGUAUUUGGUCGUAGACCCGAAACCAGGUGAUCUACCCUUGGUCAGGUUGAAGUUCAGGUAACACUGAAUGGAGGACCGAACCGACUUACGUUGAAAAGUGAGCGGAUGAACUGAGGGUAGCGGAGAAAUUCCAAUCGAACCUGGAGAUAGCUGGUUCUCUCCGAAAUAGCUUUAGGGCUAGCCUCAAGUGAUGAUUAUUGGAGGUAGAGCACUGUUUGGACGAGGGGCCCCUCUCGGGUUACCGAAUUCAGACAAACUCCGAAUGCCAAUUAAUUUAACUUGGGAGUCAGAACAUGGGUGAUAAGGUCCGUGUUCGAAAGGGAAACAGCCCAGACCACCAGCUAAGGUCCCAAAAUAUAUGUUAAGUGGAAAAGGAUGUGGCGUUGCCCAGACAACUAGGAUGUUGGCUUAGAAGCAGCCAUCAUUUAAAGAGUGCGUAAUAGCUCACUAGUCGAGUGACACUGCGCCGAAAAUGUACCGGGGCUAAACAUAUUACCGAAGCUGUGGAUUGUCCUUUGGACAAUGGUAGGAGAGCGUUCUAAGGGCGUUGAAGCAUGAUCGUAAGGACAUGUGGAGCGCUUAGAAGUGAGAAUGCCGGUGUGAGUAGCGAAAGACGGGUGAGAAUCCCGUCCACCGAUUGACUAAGGUUUCCAGAGGAAGGCUCGUCCGCUCUGGGUUAGUCGGGUCCUAAGCUGAGGCCGACAGGCGUAGGCGAUGGAUAACAGGUUGAUAUUCCUGUACCACCUAUAAUCGUUUUAAUCGAUGGGGGGACGCAGUAGGAUAGGCGAAGCGUGCGAUUGGAUUGCACGUCUAAGCAGUAAGGCUGAGUAUUAGGCAAAUCCGGUACUCGUUAAGGCUGAGCUGUGAUGGGGAGAAGACAUUGUGUCUUCGAGUCGUUGAUUUCACACUGCCGAGAAAAGCCUCUAGAUAGAAAAUAGGUGCCCGUACCGCAAACCGACACAGGUAGUCAAGAUGAGAAUUCUAAGGUGAGCGAGCGAACUCUCGUUAAGGAACUCGGCAAAAUGACCCCGUAACUUCGGGAGAAGGGGUGCUCUUUAGGGUUAACGCCCAGAAGAGCCGCAGUGAAUAGGCCCAAGCGACUGUUUAUCAAAAACACAGGUCUCUGCUAAACCGUAAGGUGAUGUAUAGGGGCUGACGCCUGCCCGGUGCUGGAAGGUUAAGAGGAGUGGUUAGCUUCUGCGAAGCUACGAAUCGAAGCCCCAGUAAACGGCGGCCGUAACUAUAACGGUCCUAAGGUAGCGAAAUUCCUUGUCGGGUAAGUUCCGACCCGCACGAAAGGCGUAACGAUUUGGGCACUGUCUCAACGAGAGACUCGGUGAAAUCAUAGUACCUGUGAAGAUGCAGGUUACCCGCGACAGGACGGAAAGACCCCGUGGAGCUUUACUGUAGCCUGAUAUUGAAAUUCGGCACAGCUUGUACAGGAUAGGUAGGAGCCUUUGAAACGUGAGCGCUAGCUUACGUGGAGGCGCUGGUGGGAUACUACCCUAGCUGUGUUGGCUUUCUAACCCGCACCACUUAUCGUGGUGGGAGACAGUGUCAGGCGGGCAGUUUGACUGGGGCGGUCGCCUCCUAAAAGGUAACGGAGGCGCUCAAAGGUUCCCUCAGAAUGGUUGGAAAUCAUUCAUAGAGUGUAAAGGCAUAAGGGAGCUUGACUGCGAGACCUACAAGUCGAGCAGGGUCGAAAGACGGACUUAGUGAUCCGGUGGUUCCGUAUGGAAGGGCCAUCGCUCAACGGAUAAAAGCUACCCCGGGGAUAACAGGCUUAUCUCCCCCAAGAGUUCACAUCGACGGGGAGGUUUGGCACCUCGAUGUCGGCUCAUCGCAUCCUGGGGCUGUAGUCGGUCCCAAGGGUUGGGCUGUUCGCCCAUUAAAGCGGUACGCGAGCUGGGUUCAGAACGUCGUGAGACAGUUCGGUCCCUAUCCGUCGUGGGCGUAGGAAAUUUGAGAGGAGCUGUCCUUAGUACGAGAGGACCGGGAUGGACAUACCUCUGGUGUACCAGUUGUCGUGCCAACGGCAUAGCUGGGUAGCUAUGUGUGGACGGGAUAAGUGCUGAAAGCAUCUAAGCAUGAAGCCCCCCUCAAGAUGAGAUUUCCCAACUUCGGUUAUAAGAUCCCUCAAAGAUGAUGAGGUUAAUAGGUUCGAGGUGGAAGCAUGGUGACAUGUGGAGCUGACGAAUACUAAUCGAUCGAAGACUUAAUCAA